rnacentral:rRNA from 1 species
GAUGAACGCUGGCGGCGUGCCUAAUACAUGCAAGUCGAGCGAAGCGGGGACGGGUGCGUAACACGUGGAUAACCUCCUAUAAGACUGGGACAACUUAGGGAAACCGGUGCUCAACCGGCUACUUUUAGAUGGAUCCGCGCUUCAUUAGCUAGUGGGUAAGGAAACGGCUUACCAAGGAAACGAUGCAUAGCCGACCUGAGAGGGUGAUCGGACAAACUGGAACUGAUACACGGUCCAGAAUCCGACGGGAGGCAGCAGUAGGGAAUCUUCCGAAAUGGUCGAAAGCCUGACCGAGCAACGCCGCGUGAGUGAUGAAGGUCUUCGGAUCGUAAAACUCUGUUAUUAGGGAAGCGGUACCUAAUCAGAAAGCCACGGCUAACUACGUGCCAGCAGCCGCGGUAAUAC